GCUUGUAUAGCUCAGUUGGUAGAGCGCCUCUUUCACAUGGAGGAAGUCCGGGGUUCAAGUCCCUGUGCAGGCA
rnacentral:tRNA from 1 species